UAUAGUUUCUUGGAGUCCUGUUUAUUAGUAGACUGAUAUUUUCUAUCUAAGAAUAGUUUCAAAUAUUUUUUUUGCUGUCAAAACAUGCUCAGGCCUAGUUAUUCUUAAUAGACAAUAGAAUUUCUUGUCCAUUUCGUAGUCUUCGUAGCACUGUUUAGAAUUUCUGAAGAAUUGUCCAGACAUUAAUUUGUGUUUGUAAGUUAAAUUACUAUUACAAACCUGUGAAGACAGUGAGUUCUGUAGAGUCCUCUAGUGUACAUGCUGAGGUGCUUGCUCUCAGACAGCAAUGCCUGUUUGUCCCCUCUCUUUUUCAUUCUCAGUCAUUACAGAAUUGAUAUUGCAGAUAUUGCCAAGCCUUUAAUGGCUGACUGACACCCUGUUCCUGGUUGGUUUUGCUACUGGUUUGGGAAGGGGUCUUUCUAUGGCCUCCACAAGCACAGAUUGCCAUCACUGGUCCUUCAUUAUCUCUUAGCAACCAUUUGGUCCUUCACAAAAAAUGUCCCAGGCUAGAUGGUCUCAAGAGUUUCCAUGCAAGACCAGUGAAGAAUGGGCUGUGACCCACCAAAGGAAAUACGGCAGGAAAUAUUGAAUCACAGCCUCUGUGCCUAAAAUGGCUCUGAAAACAAGGUUCUCUAACUUCUCUCACCUGGGGCAAAAAUCAUGGUGAGAAAAUAUUUCCUGGAACCUCCCAAAGCAGCUCUGGUUAUUGCUGUCAUCUGUGACAGAGGCAUGUGGCCAUGCACAAAAUCUCAGUGGAUGAAGCAGAACCCCUUGAAAUUCCCUACAGAAAAGCGAAGACUGGCCAAGUUAUCUGGAAUUCACAGGGUCUUUUAUCCAUGGUGUGAAGCGUUGCACCAUGUUAUGGCCAAGGAACCAACAUCAUGGAAUUAAGCAAAAUCAUAGCAUAGGAGAGGCACAGGCAGACCAAAAGAACAUGAGGUGCUGAAGCUGUGAAGCAAUGUCAUGAGGAGUCAGGGCUUGGCAUUCAUGCUGGACAGGGGAAUGAGAGGCCUAUGUAAUUAGUUUUUCUGGUGGGUAGGAGAUCCCAAGACUAUAAAACUGCCCAGGUCUCAGUCAGUGUAUGUGAUCCAUAACUUUGCAUUCCUCUCCAAAGGCGCAGUUCACAGAAUCACAGAAUGGUUUGGGUUGGAAGUGCUCUGAAAGAUCAUCUAGAUGCAACCCCUUGCCACAGGCAGGGAACCUUUCACUACACCAGGUUGUUCGUCAUUAUUGGUGGCAAGCUUCUCACAAGUAGAGGCUUCCCUGUUCCCCAGCCUUCUCUGUUAGUUUUCUGCCUCAUUGAAGACACACAACUCCAGGACAGUCACCUGUCGUGUCCCCUGGCUUCAGCAGCUGCCAGUCCUGGGUUUGCUGCAAGAUCUGCUCCCACCAGGCUAUCCUCACCACGGAGCUUGAGACUGCUGCAGCUUGGUGUGCUGCCCAUCACCGUCCCCUAGGAGCCUGUGAAGGGGCUUUGACCCAUCCAUCUGCACUUUUCCAAUUGCUGGUGUUCAGGGUGCUCCCUGAGAGAGCUGAAGAAAGAACUGGCUUGGUGUUGGCAGGAAGCUUCAUAUAGUUUCUGGGAAGCAAGGCUUGGAAAGGGGCCCAGGCUGUCACAGUGCCUGUGUUUUGGGUAGCAUCUGGCCUGAUGUCUGUUGGAACAAAUGGCUGGCCACUGAGGCAGGCACGUUACAGCCAACACUACACAUGCAGACAAAGCCACCAGCUCACUUCAGCCCACGAUGCUUGGGGACAAAAGUGCCAUGUCUCCAAUUCUAGGGUGAAUUUAGACAACCAGAGCUGGGAUGUGCGCUGAACUGCCCGUGCAUACAGGCAGCCACAAUGCUUAGGAGCCAAAGGUUUGAGGGCAAAGAAAGAUGACUGAAGCUGUAAGAAAUACUUUCUUUGAUUAAAAAGUAGUUGCAAUGAAUGAAGUAAUGAAACAAAGACUGACCUUUACAAUUGUGUGUUAGUACACAAAAUUCCUUUGAAGAAAUUGACAUUAAAAAUGCUCAUUAAAUAAAGCAAAAUAUCUUUCAGAGGUUUUUAUGGCAUUAUAAGACAUAAUUUUACCAUAGACGUUGCUGGAAUCUGUGUAACCCUGAAAAAUAAGGUAUUGGAGGAAUAUCUGUGAAACUAGUAUGGCAGUGUUCAUUUGGAGAAAUUUCUUCAUGAUAAGGCUGGAUUAUUGGAUAGCAAAGGAGUGGGAAAUAUACAGACUGAACAGUGAAACAUGAUCAGAGAAUCUUAUUUGUUGCUUGGUGUCUGAAAACUGUAUUUGAACUUAAACUUUCUAAUGGUUCCUACUUACAAAAAAAGAGUAUUUAAAAAAUGUGUUCAGAUAUACCAGGCUGAUGACCAACUGACAUGAUUUUCAUUCCAAUAUUAACAUGUAUCUUAGAGAACCGUGUCCAGUGUAAAAAAAUCCUGUGGUUUUGGGACCCAGAAGAGAAAUGCAAGGCUCCUGUGUUUGGUCUGUCUGUGCUGUGCUACACAGGAUAGUUGUAGAGAAAGAUCAGAAGAGGGUCCAGAUAUUCAGUCUUUUCUCUUUCAGUUAUACAAGGUCAGUAGGUUGGAACUGACUUAAUAGGUUUAAAUCAGUGAAAAUAUAAGGCCAGUAUCUCUACAGCUGCCUAUAUCUCAGAUAACCUCUCUACUUAAAAAUACCAGCAAUGUGCAGUGUAAUGUCACUUACUUUGAAGCUGACAUUUUGCAUUGUACAGGUUUUCAGUUGCUCAUAAAACUUUGCCAGCUUUCACAAGUCUGAAAUUUUCCCUAAGGGGUGUUGGCCUCAAAAUGAAUUUUUUGGUGAAGGCUCCAGACACAGUUUUGUCAGCUGCCUAUGAUCAAAAUGCAGAUUAUUUGCCCUUGUAGAGAAAAGAAAAAGAAGAAGAAAGAGAAGAAGAAAAGGAAAGAAAAAGAAGAAAGAGAAAAAAGGAAGGAUAAGAAAAAAGGAAAGAAGAAAGAUAAGGAAAAGAAUAAAAGGAGAGAAAAAGAAGGAGAAAAAUAAAUAAAAGGAAAGAAAAGAUAAAAGGAAAGAAAAGGAAAAAAGCCCACAGGUGCAGCGCACUGAGAAAGGACUGCACUAACUUCACCCUGGAGCUGGUGCCAUCCAAGCACUCUGCCAUAGCCUACAUCUCUUUUAUGCUCACCCUCCUGCCACCAGACUAGGACUCCCUUGGAUUAUUGGAAGAAGAUAGGCAAGCAAAUGAAUUCCUUAUGGGAACUGCAUUUCAUAGUAUGCUGGAAAAGAACUGAAACUUUGACAACUAUAACCAGGAAACAGGAGACAAAUACAAAAGAUUUAACCAAGCUACCCAAAAUAUUUCCAUGGAAAUGAUUUAAUUAUCAAAUGCAUCAGUUUGCCAAUAUUUUGUUAAAUUAAAACUAAAUUCAUAACAAUCAAAGGGACGUU